rnacentral:rRNA from 1 species
ACACUCCUACGGGAGGCAGCAGUGGGGAAUCUUGCGCAAUGGGCGAAAGCCUGACGCAGCCAUGCCGCGUGAAUGAUGAAGGUCUUAGGAUUGUAAAAUUCUUUCACCGGGGACGAUAAUGACGGUACCCGGAGAAGAAGCCCCGGCUAACUUCGUGCCAGCAGCCGCGGUAAUACGAAGGGGGCUAGCGUUGCUCGGAAUUACUGGGCGUAAAGGGAGCGUAGGCGGACAUUUAAGUCAGGGGUGAAAUCCCGGGGCUCAACCUCGGAAUUGCCUUUGAUACUGGGUGUCUUGAGUAUGAGAGAGGUGUGUGGAACUCCGAGUGUAGAGGUGAAAUUCGUAGAUAUUCGGAAGAACACCAGUGGCGAAGGCGACACACUGGCUCAUUACUGACGCUGAGGCUCGAAAGCGUGGGGAGCAAACAGGAUUAGAAACCCCGGUAGUCCCAU